rnacentral:rRNA from 1 species
UUGAACGCUGGCGGCAGGCCUAACACAUGCAAGUCGAGCGGAUGAAGGGAGCUUGCUCCUGGAUUCAGCGGCGGACGGGUGAGUAAUGCCUAGGAAUCUGCCUGGUAGUGGGGGAUAACGUCCGGAAACGGGCGCUAAUACCGCAUACGUCCUGAGGGAGAAAGUGGGGGAUCUUCGGACCUCACGCUAUCAGAUGGGCCUAGGUCGGAUUAGCUAGUUGGUGGGGUAAAGGCCUACCAAGGCGACGAUCCGUAACUGGUCUGAGAAGAUGAUCAGUCACACUGGAACUGAGACACGGUCCAGACUCCUACGGGAGGCAGCAGUGGGGAAUAUUGGACAAUGGGCGAAAGCCUGAUCCAGCCAUGCCGCGUGUGUGAAGAAGGUCUUCGGAUUGUAAAGCACUUCAAGUUGGGAGGAAGGGCAGUAAGUUAAUACCUUGCUGUUUUGACGUUACCAACAGAAUAAGCACCGGCUAACUUCGUGCCAGCAGCCGCGGUAAUACGAAGGGUGCAAGCGUUAAUCGGAAUUACUGGGCGUAAAGCGCGCGUA